GUUCAGCUUUUGGGCCCUUUCUCACUUUGGAGAUUCUUAAUUUCUUAUCCAUUGGAGAUUAGAGGAAUUUGAAAACUGAAUAUUGAUUUUUUUUUGGGCCAAUAGUCAGCAUCUCUUUGUGCAAUGCACAUCUAGUUGUGCAUUGGUAAGCCUGUGGUAGUCAGAAUAAUGGCCCCUGAGGAUGUCCAUAUCCUAAUCCCAGAAACCUGUAAAUAAUUUUGCAAAUGUAAUUUAAUUAAGGAUCUUCAACUGGAGAGAUUAUUCUGGAUUAUCUGGUGAUAUGGUUUGGCUGUGUUCUCACCAAAAUCUCAUCUUGAAUUGUAGCUUUCAUAAUUACCACGUGUUAUGGGAGGGACCCCGUGGGAGGUAAUUAAAUCAUGGGAUGGGUUUUCCCCCAUACUGUUAUCGUGGUAGUUAAUAAGUCUCGUGGGGUCUGAUGGUUUUAUAUAUGGCAGUUCGUCUACACAAGCCCUCUUGUUUGCCACCAUGUAAGACACAGCUUUGCUCUUCCUUCAUCUUCCACCACAAUUGUGAGGCCUCCUCAGCCAUGUGGAACCGUGAGUCCCUUAAACCUCUUUCCUUUAUAAAUUACCCAGACUCAGGCAUGUCUUUAUUAGCAGCAUGAGGACAGACGAAUAUGUCUGGGUGGGCUCAACCAAAUCACAUGGGUCCUUAAAGUGAAGACGUUUUCAAGGUCAGAGAGGGAGAGAUGUGGCAAUGGAAGAAGGGUCAGAGAGAUGUAACGUUGCUACUUUGAAGAUGAAGGAAGGGAACCAUGAGUCAAGGUAAUGUGACCAGCAAAACUGCAGAAGCUGGAGAGGGCAAGGAAGCAGCUUCUCACCUAUAGCCUCCAGAAAGGAACACUGGCUUGCCAACACCUAGUUUUAGCCCAGUGAGCUCCAGGUUGAACUGAUCUACAGAAAGAAUGACAAGAUAACACAUUUGUGCUAUUUUAAACUUACAUUUGUGGCAACUUGUUACAACCACAAUAGGAAGUGAAUACUACAGGCAUCUAAAUCCUAACAAUAUUUCAUACCCAUUCAUUCUCAUAUCCUUCCUUUCCUUCAGAAAGAUUUCUAUGAAGUCACUUGCAGCUAAGCUUUAGGCUCAUUUUGAACUCAACAUUGAGAAAAAAGUUAGCUCCAUAGAGAGAUUAACUAUAAAAAAACUUUGAAUUUGGUAAGCCAUUGUGUGUUUGGACAUAAGGAGUAAUAUAGGCAUCUUGUCCUAUUCCCUCAGAUAUAUAUUUUUAAAUUAAAAAUGGAUGCUCAGAGAAGGGAAAUACUUCUCUAAAGUUGCCCAGGAAAUUAAUGUCAGGAUAAAAAUUAAAAUUUUGGUUUUUCAUCUUCUAUUCCACCAUUCUUAAGAUUACUUUUUUAAAAAUAGGUUAAAAGUACUAUCUGUCCAGACGCUGACCCACAUAUAUUUUAUGAUCUUAUUUACCACAAAAACAUAACUGACAUUUAAAGGGAAAAGAAAGAUUUUUGUUUGGUCAACUGAAUAUCCAUAUGGACAAAAAUCAGCCUUGACCCUUCUUUCAUACCAUAUGCAAAAGUUAAUUAAAGAUAGAUUAUAGACACAGAUGAGAAAGGUAAAAUAAUAGGGACUCUAGAAGAAGACAUAGAAAAAAUCAUGACGUUGAGGGAAACAACUCUUAAAUAAGACAUUAAAAAAAUCACCAGCCAGAAAAGAAAAUUUAUGGUGCUCAGUAAUUAGGCCAUUCUUUUUCUGUUGGGAUUUCAUGAAGUUCUCUAAAGGGAAUUUUACAGUUUGAUAAAUGAAAUAUUAUUAAAAUUAAGAACAUUUGUUUAUUGAAAGACACCGAUAGUAAAAGUCACAGAUGGAGAAAGACAUUUGCAACACAUAAAUCUGAAUAGGGUUCAUAUUAGGAAUAUGUAAAGAAUUAUUAAUAGGAAAAAGACAAGUCAAUGACAGUGGAAGACAGACAAUGGAGACUUCGAAGGGGGAACGGGUUGGGGGAAAGGUAAUGAGAAUUACUUAAUGGGUACAAUGCAUGUUGUCUGGGUGAUGAAUAUUCUAAAGCUUUGAAUUGACCAUUAUUCCAUCUAUGGAUAUAACAAUAUUGCACUUGUACUCCGUAAUUUUAUGCCACAGAAAGCUAGCAAAGACUUGAAAAGGCAAGAACUGGAGUAUAAAAGAGGUAUCACAAUGGCCAAAAGUCAUGUGAAAGCUGCUCAGCAUAUUAGCCACCAGAGGAAUACAAAUCAAAUGUCAAUGAAAUGCUAUCCCACGCCCACCAGAAAGGCUGAAAUUAAAAGGACUAAUAAUACCUAGAGUUGUCAGGCAUCUGGAGCAACUGGAACUCUCAUACACUGCUGUACUACAGUUCUUCAUCAUAUUGCUUUUAAGUUUUUUGAUGGCCAAACUCAUCUUUUAUUCAUAUUUCUCCCACCUUCUUGCCUGCUCUGUGCCAAUAAUAAGUGCUCAAGUGUUUGGACUUUAAGUUCCACUCUAGACAAAAAGCCACCAGCACACACACAUAAAAGCAGUAGUGACGCUGAUGAGAAGAGAUGGCCCAAAUAAUUUUCCAAAAUGAGUCUGAUAGACAGUUUUUGCACCAAACUGCCUGCCUUUCCCUAGGCAAAUGUGCAACUCUUCAUGCUGAGUGUGAUUCCAUGGCCUCAGGAAGCAGCCCAGCACUAUGGACUCCUGGGCUCUGUAGUUAGACAAUUGCUGGAUAGUAUCCCAUAUCAGCCAUUUCCCAGCUGUGUGACCUUGAAGCAAAUGACUCAACCUCUCUGUGCCUUGAUUUUCUCAUUUACAAAACAAAUAGUAAUGGUAUCUACUUUAUAGGAUUGUAGUGAGUAUAAGUGAGAAGUUAGAAGCAAAACAUCUGUCCAACUUUAGGUGCUCAGUAAUUAGACAAUUCUUUUGCUUUUGAGGCUUCAUGAAGUCUUCUAAAGAGGAUUUUACACUUUGCAUGAUGGUAAUCCAUUUUUUUGAGAGCAGUUGCAAAUUCUUCUUUGCGUUUCUUCUGGAAAUAUCUUUUGUGUACCUUUAAAACUGCCCGUCAAUAAAAGCUCUGACCAGCAUUGUCCAAGACCUCCACACUUUGUGGCCAGUAGAUUUGGAGGUCCUUUCCUUAAGAAAGACAGGGCUUUGGGAACCCCCAAUGCAUUGAUUACCUUUAUGUCCUAUCAGGAUGGACGAGACAGUGAUCAGGAAGGAAGCCACAAAAGAGCAGCCCAUAACCCUCCAUCAUCAUCAGCUCCUACAGCAAAGGCAGAGAGGCCCUGGAACCAAUACAGGUCCCUGCUCCAACAAGAGUGGCAAUUCCAACAACAGCAAAUCAACACAAUCUACGAACUCUACAACUGUCAGGUUAAAGAACAUCACCAUGUAAAGAAAACUAAUGUGUCAUGCGACUCUCUUUGACCUUUAUGGAUAUUGCUUCAUCCUUGCUACAGGCAGAAAAUCAGCGUUUAGCAUGGCUGAGAUGAGGACAUUGAGGUGCAGUUUGGUCAAGAGAUUUACUUGCUCAAGAUCUUCCAAGGUGCUUGUAUCAGCUUGCUGAUCAUGUGAGUGAGGCACCCUACGAGUGGAUAUGCCACCUCCCAUCAACACUUCAGAUGAAAGCAGCCUCAGUGGACAACUUGACUGCAACCUCAUUCAAGAGAGAUCUUGAAUUAGAACAGUUCAGCUAAGCUGCCUCCAAACUCCUGACCCACAGAAACCGUGAGAGAUUCUAAAUAUUUACUGUUUUGAUUCACUAAGUUUUGCAAUAAUUUGUUAUGUAGCAAUGGAUGGUAAGUACAGGCAGGCGGUGAGUCUAGAAGAAAGUGAGCUUUGGAGGAAUGCUGAGAAUUAGGUUAGAGAGGGAGCAUGUGUUAAUAUCAUAUACAGCUUGUACUUUUUGAUAAGGAAUUUGAAUUUAUUCUGAACUGAUGGAAAAUCAUUCAAGGAUUUUGCUCACAGAGGCAGCAUUAUGUUUUUAAAAUAUCAUCUAGACCACUGAAUAGACAACCAAACGUGGACACAAGAGCACAGGCAGGGAGACCUGUUAGGUAUCUAUGUGGUUUAUCCAUGUAAAAUGUGAUAGUAGCGUGGUCUUUCAGGCUCUGUUUGAAUGGUUCAAUCAAUGGAAUUUUCUGAUAGGUUGGGUGUGACAUUUGAGAAAGUAAAAAGCCAAGGUGAAUUCAAGGUUUUUUUUUUUUUAAAUAUCAGAAACUGGGAGGAAAAGAUGUCUUUUGUGGAGGUAAGGGUCAACAGUGGUAUUGUUGACCACUGGUGGUAGUAGGGGCAGAUUUGAAGGUUAAAGAAUGCCAUAUUUAGAGAUCAGUAAGAGGAAGAGGAGCCAUGCAUGAAGACUGAGAAGGAAUAUCCAGGGAGGUAGGAAGAAAAUCAGGAGAGUUCACAGUUCUAGGAGCCAUGGUAAGAAAGGGCUUAAAGAAGCAAGAGUGAAUAACUGGAUGAGAGUGUUUUAGUAAGAGGAGCUAAAAACUAAGCCCUGAAUUUGGCAUAGUGAAGAUUGUUGCUAAACUUAGGAAUAACAAACUGUCUUGCAGAUACACUUAUAAAUUCAUUAACCCCAAAGCAUAUUUUGCUAGGUCUUCUUUUCUAUGCUAUAAGAAAAUAAAUGUAACCACAACUAUUUGUCCCUCAUCUGUCAAGUUUAUGUGGUGAUCUUCAUUUUGUGAAUCUCCUCCAUAUCAACUGAUUUAUUAAUGGCACCUGAAUCUUCACCCUUGGAGAACUGUAGUUAUGAAAAACCUGCCUUGGACUGAAAGUUAAGAAUCUAAGUGUCAAUUUUUGCUUUUGUUGCAAUGCUUUUGGGGUCUUGGUCAUGAAAUAUUUGCCUGUUUUUAUGUCCAAAAUGGGUAUUGCCUAGGUUGUCUUCCAGGGUUUAUAUAGUUUUUUGUUUUACCCUUAAGUCUUUAAUUUAUCUUGAUUUGAUUUUGUUUUUGUUUGUUUUGCUUAUAGAGGCAGUAUUAGGUUUUAAAAAUAUCAUGCAGACUACAGAAUAGACAAUCAAACAUGGGCACAAGAGUGCAGGCAGGGAGACUACAAUGGUGUAAGAAAGGGGUAGAGUUUCAUUCUUCUGCAUGUGGCUAGCCAGUUAUUUCAGCGCCAUUUAUUGAAUAGGGAGUCUUUUCCCCAUUGCUUGUUUUUGUCACCUUUGUUGAAGAUCAGAUCGUUGUAGGUAUGUGGCCUUAUUUCUAGGCUCUCUGUUCUGUUCUAUUGGUUUGUAUGUCUGUUUUUGUACCAAUACUAUGCGGUUUUGGUUACUGUAGCCCUGUAGUAUAGUUUGAAGUUGGUUAAUGUAAUGCCUCCAGCUUUGUUCUUUAUGCUUAGAUUGCCUUGUCUGUUGGACUUUUAUUUGGUUCCACAUGAAAUUUAAAAUAGUUUUCUCUAGUUCUAGCUUCUAGUUUCUAGAAUUGCAGCAGUAGUUUAAUAGGAAUAGUGUUGAAUCUAUGAAUUGCUUUGGGCAGUAUGGUCAUUUUAAUGACAUUGGUUCUUCCUAUCCAAGAGCAUGGACUAUAUUUUCAUUUGUUUGUGUUGUCUCUGAUUUCUUUGAGCACCAUUUUGUAAUUCUUCUUGUAGAGGUCUUUAAUUUCUCUGGAUAGCUGGAUUCCUAGAUAUUUUAUUCUUUUUGGACAGUUGUGAAUGGGAUUGCAUUCCUGAUUUGGCUCUCGGCUUGACUGUUGUAUAGAAAUGCUAGUGAUCUUUGUGUGUUGAUUUUGUAUCCUGAGACUUCACUGAAGUUGUUUAUCAUUAACAAAUGGAAUCUAAUUAGACUAAAGAGCUUCUGCACAGCAAAAGAAGCUAUCAAUAGAGUAAACAGACAAGCUACAGAAUGGAAGAAAAUUUUUGUGAACUGUGUGUCUGACAAAGUUCUAAUACCCAGCAUCUAUACGAACUUCAACAAAUUUACAAAAAAAAAUCCCAAACAAGCCCAUUAAAAAAUGGUCAAAAUAGAUGAACUGACACUUCUCAAAAGAAGACGUACAUGCAGCCAACAAGCAUAUGAACAAAAGCUCAACAUUAUUGAUCAUUAGAAAAAUGCAAAUCAAAGCCACAAUGUGAUACCAUCUCACACCAGUCAGAAUGGCUAUUAUUAAAAAAUUUAAAAAUAACAGAUGCUUGCAAGUUUUUGGAGAAAAAGGAAAGAACUUAUACACUGUUGCUAGGAGUGUAAGUCAGUUCAACCAUUGUGGAAAGCAGUGUAGCAAUUCCUCAAGGAGCUAAAAGCAGACCUACGAUUUGACCCAGCAAGAACUAUUCAAAUACCCAAAGUAAUAGAAAUUAUUCUAUAAUAAAGACACAUACAUGCAAAUGUUCACUGCAGCACAGUUCACAAUAGCAAAAACAUGGAAUCAACCUAAAUGUCCUUCAAUGAUAGACUGGAUAAAAAAUUGUGAUACAUUUUUGUACGAUGAAAUAAUAUGCAGCCAUUAAAAAAUAAGAUCAUGUUCUUUCCACUCACUGGGGCCAACAAAAGGGUGGAGGGUGGGAGGAGGGAGAGGAUCAGGAAAAAUAACUAAUGAGCACUAGACUUAAUACCUGGGUGUCAAAAUAAUCUGUACAAUAAACCCCCAUGACAUGGGUUUACCUAUAUUAUAAACCUGCACGUGUACCUUUGAACUUAAAAUAAAGGUUAUGGCCAGGUGCGGUGGCUGACACCUGUAAUCCCAGCACUUUGGGAGGCUGAGCCAGGUGGAUGACGAGGUCAAGAGAUCGAGACCAUGGUGAAACCCUGUCUCUACUAAAAAAUACAAAAAUUAGCUGGUUGUGUUGGUGCGUGCCUGUGGUCCUAGCUACUUGGGAGGCUGAGGCAGGAGAAUUGCUUGAACUUGGGAGGCAGAGGUUGCAGUGAGCUGAGAUCACACCACUGCACUCCAGCCUGGCACCUGGAGACAGAGCAAGACUCUGUCUCAAAAUAAAUAAAUAAUAAAAGUUUAAAUAAAUAGAAAUUUUAAUGUCUAUUGGAAAGAAGAAGAGCUAAAUAUGAGGGGGCCAGGUGGAGCAGGGGUCAGGUAAUAAACUCCUGGUUUAAUCCUCUGGGCCUGAUGGAAUCAUGGAAAGUUGUCCUCUAGGUAUUUGACAUUUUCACUUUGUACUUUAUUAGUCCACUAGUCAAUAGAGAGUUGUAAAGGUAGGAAGGAGAUACUAACUGCAUUUAGGAAACUAUUGUGACAAAACAGGAUUUGGGUCAUAGAGUCUUUAGGGAUAAAGAAAUGUUUUUGCUGGAUUUCAGGGACCUAUAAAAAGUGUAGGAAGUAGAAUGGGGGUGGUGUCCUCAGAAGAUUUGUAUGAUUAAGUAAAGAAUUACAGAUCCAAGAAAUUCCCUUUCUUCGGCACUAGAAAAUUUGAAAGACAGGCAUAUUGUAAAUUCCUUGCCUCGGUUUCUCUGCCUGAAGACACACAUUGCCUCAACCUCUGAUGUUUCCAUCACAAGCUUCUCUGAAAGAGAUCAAGGGAGCCCCUCCCUCUCACAUCUGCAAACAGCCAUCCACUCCCAGAGGAAGUGGCUAUUUAUGCAGGUGAGCAAAGCAAAUCUGAGAAGGAAGUGAAGUAUAUCUCCUCCUCUCUGCAAGUCUACAGCUUUUUUCCCUCUUAUUUGGAACUUUUAAAUAAGAUUACAUACACAAGGCUCUGGUAGUUAGCGGGUGCUCAGCUAAAACCACUCAUCAUUAUUGGUGUUGCUUGCCUUACAUUCUGGGUAUUGGUUUCCUUCCUACUGGACUUAUCUCCCUACCAGGUGAGAGCACCUUGAGAGAAGGAGUGCUUUUUAUUCACCAUAUAAUCCCAAAGCCUAGUGCAAUCUUACAUAGUAAGUGUAUGGCUUAACGCCGAAUUUAAAUUUAAACUCAGUGUUUGUCUCUGUGGCUGUACAGUUUUUGUACCUCCCCACAAAGCUGACUAACUUUAAUUAAUUUUGAUUUCUCAGGGGAUGCUAAAGCAAUGUGGUCAUUCAUUCAUUAAUUUAAUUGGUAUUAGCUGGUCAUGCUAGAUAUUGCACCCAAGUGAGAAAGAUAGACAUGGUUCCUUCUCUCUCAAAGCUUACAAUCUAAUGUCAUAGCUCCUCCACCAGAUUUACCAUGGGAACUUUAAAAAAAUAUUACUCCCAGGACCACAUUUCUAUCCUAUUGAUUAAUAAGUAUUCAUAAUGGGGACUGGGGAGUAGCAAGUACUCCUGUGUGAUUCUGGGACUGCCCCUUUGGAUGAAUCACAGAGUUAUGUCAGAGGGAAUGACAUAUGUAUGAUUCCCAAUUCUAUAACUUACUUUGGGACCUGGGGGAAGUCUCUCAACCUACCUGACCCUCAGUUUGUUCAUCUACAAAGUGAGAAAUAUGUCUCUCCUUCCUAUCUCCAAGGGCUGAUGUGAGAAGAAUAUGAGAGAAUCAAUAGUCGUGUGCUUGGUAUACUUUACAUUUCUCUAUACAAAUUAUAAAUCAUUGUUAUUAGGUAUUAACCAGUAUUUAGGACUUACUAAUUUAAAAAUACAUUACUGGAGCACCUACCGUCCAAAAGUUAGAGUCCUUUAUCUCUCUUGGACUCUGGAUAGGGAUUCACUAAACUGGCUGUAAAAUUAGUGGCUGAUGACAUUUUAAUGUAGUACCUCUCCAAGUAGAUUUGCAUUUAACAUCUUGAAGAAAAUCAUGAAAUAAUAUAAUUGAUAAUAAUAAUAGCAAUCAUUUUAUGAAAAUUUUACAGUGUGCCAAGUGCUGGGCUAAGCGCUUUACCUAGAGCUGAAAAUAACUUUUGUUUAUAAGACUGCUUAUAAGAGGCCACAAAUCAAUGCAUAUUUGAUCAUUUUUUUUAACCUUAAUCAUAUUUUAAGAGUCAGUGCAACUAAGAAUAAGACAAAUUUAAUAGAAAUAGAAAAAUCGUAAUCUUUAUUGUCUCACAAAAGAUUGACGGCAGACCCCACUGUCAGCUGCUUGAGCCUCUGACUUAAGCUCAACCUUCCCAUUUCACAGAUUAAGAAUCUGAUGCUCAGAAAGGUGACAUGGCUUACGGAUACUCCUUGCAUCUGUCUGAGUGCCCCGGCUUUUAUAUAAAAUCACCUCUUCCAUUUAGCAGCCAUCACAUUCUCCAGUUCAGUCAAUUAACCUGGUGCCUCAGCCUUCCACCAAGUCAUCCACCACAGGCUGAGCAAAGCCUCCUCCUUCAUAGCAUGACCUGCCCUGAUCUCCAGCCCUUGGUGUCUCUCAGAAGGCUUCCUCAGGCUCUAUGUCUUUCAUGUGUUCUCUCCUCUGCCCCAGUGUACAUCACAGAGAAAGGUUCUGUUGGGUGUAAAGUCUUGCCAUUUCCACUUAUGAUUGCCCCCUCACCUCAUUAGCCACUUGGUACCCUUUGUCUGGAAGAUGGGUUUCUGACGGCAAUUUAAGCAGUCAGUUUAAUUGGAAGAUUAGGAAAGACCUGGUGUCUCGGCAAUCAUUUGAGAAUAGACUGAGCAAUGGUCCAUUUUAAAGCAUAUUCCAGCUUUCAGUUUCUGCAUAUUUUUCACAGUUCCCAAACUCUUCUAAAUUGUUGUGGCACCACUGGUCCCUUCGUGUGUACAUGUCUGUGUCCAAGCAUUACCUCUGCAGAGAGGUCUUCUUGAUGGUCUUGUUUUUUGUGGACCUCCGUUGCUUCCUGUGACUCUGCAAUAUGGUGGUGGACUGACUACUGGCCUCAAGUCCUAACCUCUUUUUGUAUCUAUAUCCUUUGCCAUGUCAUCUGGCAUUUUCUCACUCUAAAGGGGAUGUGGCAGACAGACUGUAAGGUUGUAAGGUAUUAUUCCCAAGACCCCACCUCCUGGUAUCAUGCCUGUGUGUAAUUUUCUCCCUUGGAAUGUGGGCAGGACCUGCAUCUUGUUUCCAACCAAUAGAAGAUGGCAAAGGUGAUAGGGCAGGAUUACAAUGUGAAUGCAAUUAUGUGACUACAUUUUGUCGGAAGACACCAUCUUGCUGUCAGACUCACUCUCCAUUGCUGGCAGUGAAGAAGCAAGCUGCUAUGAAGCAUGACCUUGUGGGAAAAGCCCAUGUGCAAGGACUACCAGCAGCAUCUAGAAGCCAAGCAAGAAACUGACGUCCUUGGAUUUACAGCCAGGAGGAAAUUAAUUUGGCCAAUAAUCUGAGUGAGUCUGGAGGUAGGUCCAUCGCCAGUUGAGUCUCCAGAUGAGAACAGAGCCUUGGCUGACACCUGAAUUGCAGUCUUGCAGAGAAUGCAACAAAGCCUUGUCCAAACACUUGACCUGCAAAAGCUAUGAGAUGACAAGUGUGUUUUGGUAUAAGUUGCUGUUUGUGGUCUUAUGCUAUACAGAUUAGAAAACUAAUGUGGCAUAUUUUCUUACUCUUCACUUUGGGUUCUGCUUUGUCUCAUAGAAUUUGGCAGAAAUACCAUUGUGCCAGUCCCAUGCAUGACCAUUAAGAGGUUUCAUCUGUUUUUGCUCACUGUCAUAAGUUUUUGUCUUUGUUGGGAGAAACACAUGCUAGGCUAACUCACUGGUUUCAGAAAGAGGUAGAGAAACAUGGAGAGAUAUUUCCCAUAAGUCCAUCCUAGACUGGUCAUUUCCCAAUGGACCUGCAGAUAUUCGAGAUACAUAUGCUAUUAUUGUUGUAUGCCACUGAAUGUGGAUCAGUGUGAUUCAAUGGGUAUCUGGCAGUCUUCUGACUCUUAGCCAGUGAAUUUUCACCUGCACCAUAUUUUAGUGCAAAGCAACAGAAACUAAAGGCUGGUAUUUAUAUUUGCAUAAUACUUCAGGAUCUGGAGUUAGAAUGUGGAAUUUACAGAGAAGAAUCAGGAAGGAAUUCUUUAAAAUAGUUGAAAUUAUGUACUAAGUUUUAUGUUUUGUGCAUUUUGUGGAAGACAUAAUCUAUAAUGGUUCCUCAUAUUUUAAAAGGGAUUCAUAACAUUCUACCUGUUUACGAAACACUGAUAAUAAUGGAAAUCAUAUUCUUCCCUUCUUAGUCCAGGGAAUGGUAUAGUUCAUUGAAGAAACAUAAUUCCCAGACCCAAGUCAUUUCUCAAAUCUUUUUAAAAACUUUAUGGAUUAAUUUUUGGUGACUUUCAGACAAGACGCUAUUUCUUUAUACCCAUGCAUUUUCUUUAUCAGUUUAAAAAUAACAUUUCCCUAAAAAGAGUGAUUCUAAUAAAGACAUUUUAAAAAAUCCAAACACCAAGACACAUUAAGAAUGUGAAUUCUGUUAAGCUAUUUCAGUUUUCUGACUCUGAAAUAUUAUUUGCCUCUAUGUGAGUAUGGCAGUUUGGUAGGAAGCAUGUAUCUCCACCUCUGCCCCUUGGUUUACUUAGCCUCUAUGUUGGGACAAUCAUAGCUAUAUUGACAGGGUUGCUGUGGGGACUAAAUGAACUGAGAUGUGGAAACAUGUUUGGCACAAAGGCCUCAGUCACUGUUGAAAGUUAUAAUAUAUUACACUUUACACAGCCUCUGCUCAAUUUGCAACUCUUCAAAGUGGAAAGACCAACCUCUGUCCAAAGUGGUUACAGUGGGAGUAGAAAUGCGCUGUUUGUUGACCAUUCACCCCUGCAUCUCUCUUUGGGAGCAGUAUUAUUUGGAGUGUAAGUGGCUAUUGUGGUAAACAUGUUGAAGAAGGAAGAAUCCAGGAUGGUUUAACAAUAAAAGAAACAAUUAGUAUUUUUCUUGUUUUGCUAAAGACUUAAAGAGGCACUCAGAGAAUUCUCAAAUAUUAAGGAGACUUACAGAUAACUAAUCCACUUUUCUCCACUCCCAUCGAGAGUGCCUAGUCUCAGCCAUCAAUCCAUCUCUUAUUAAGAGCAAUUAACUGGUCUCCCUCCCUCCAGUCCUGCUCCCUUUAAUUUAUUCUCUUCACUGCAGCCAGAAUAAUCUCUCCAAAAUACAAAUCAGAUAUGUUCUCUUCAAGGCCUUCAGUAGCCCUUCGAUCAUGUUAGAAUAAAGACCAGACUUUGUAUGUAUUCAAAGCUGGGCAUUUUCUUCUCUCUCACUCCACCCCUCCUCAUUCUCUGUGUCGGACGCUUUAAAUUUCACCUAGUUCUUCCAAUCCCUCCCAACUCUCUCUAAUGGUGGUGGUUGAGGGAAUUCAGUACAUUUUAUUCCUUUAUUUCGUGCCUGGCUCUGGAGGAAGAUGAAAUCGACAUAGGCUAUUAGAAUAUCACCCUUCUAACUAAUGAUGCUGUAAAAGAAACAUGUGACAUUAGGACCCCAUUUGCCAAAGGGGCUUCUAAUUCUUCACCCCUAAAUUACGUGGAGUCAUCCACUCACAUUCUCGGUAGAACUGAGUGACCACGUGUCUUCCACAAUGGGGAAUUUUCCCUUUGAAAGCUAGGGCAUGGAGGAGCAGAGCAGAAAAUCUUUGAAAUCUGUGGGUAGGCAACAAUUUCUUCGAUUGGACACAAAAAGCACAAGUCAUAAAAGAAAAUAAAUAAUAAGUUGUACUUCAUAGAACUACCACUCUUCAAAAAAACACCAGUAAAAAAUGAAAAAGCAAGGCAUAGACAGGAGACAAUAGUUGCAAAGAUACAGCUGAUAGUUUAUACUAGACUAUAAAAAGAACUCUCACAACUCAUUAAUAAGAAAAUAAACAAACUAGUUAAGAAAUGGGCAAAAAUUUUCAACAGAUAUUUCACCAAAGAAGAGAUGGUAGCAAAUAAGCACUUGAAUAAAUGCUCAACGUCAUUAGUCAUUAAAGAAAUACAAAUUAAAAUUACAAUGAGUUGUUACCGUAUACCAAUUAAAAUGGUUGGGGGUCUAAUGAUAUCAAUAGUAGGGGAGAUGGGGAAAUGGAGACAUUUCUUACAUUGUUUAUUGGAAUAUAAAAUGGUACCAGAAAUUUGGAAAACGUUUUGAUUUUUAUAAAGUUAAACAUGCACUUAUUAUAUGUCUUAGUUUGCUAGGGUGGCCUUAAUAAAAUACUACAGAUUGGUAUGUCAUUGGCUUAAACAACAAAAAUUAAUUUUUCUCAUAAUUCUGGAGUUUAGAAAUCCAAGAUCAAGGCAUUAGCAGGUUUGAUUUUUCCUGUGGCCUCUUUCAAAAUACAUCUUCAAUACAAAUUCUAUCUAUAAAUACGUUCACAUUAUGAGGCACUAGGGGUUAGGGCUUCAGCCUAACUCCUAGUGGGAACGCAAGUGGGCCUCUAACACCAUACGAUCCAGAUACUUGACUUGGGUAUUUAUCCUACAUGAAUAAAAACGUAUGUUCAUACAAAGACGUGUAUCAGAAUGAUUAUAGUGCCUUCAUCCAUCAUCAAAAACUGGAAACAACCCUGGUGUCCAUCAAGUAACGAAUGGAUAAACAAGAUGCAAUGCACCUAUAAUAUGAAAUUCUACUCAAUCAUGAAAAGAAAAACGAUUAAUGUAAGGAACGACAUAAAUGAAUCUUGAAAGCAUUAUGUUAAGUCAAAGAAGUUAGACACAACAAGCUACAUGCUGUAUGAUUCCAUUUAUAUAACAUUCUGGAAAAAGCAAAACUAUGGGAACAGAAAUGAGAUCAGUGGUUGCCUGGCACUGGGGCUAGGGGAGGGGAGUGGAUGCAGAGGUACAUAAGGGAGCUCCGGUGGAUGAUGAUGGAAAUGUCUGUACCUUAAUGGUGUGGUGUUUUCAUGACUUUUUGUUUGUCAAGACUCACCGAACCGUACACCCGCAAAUGGUAAAUUCUACUGAAUAUAAAUUAUAUUUAAUCAAAUCAUACUUUAAAAUCACACUUUAAAAGAAAAAGUGAGAAACUGAUUAUGGACCAGAGGCUUGUGAGCCUGCUAAAAAUCUCCCAGGAAGUUAUUUAUACAGAUUUAACUUGCACUUAGCACCCUGUUCUUAGUAUAAUCGUUGUUUAUUCAGAUGCUAAGGAAAAAAAAAAUUGUCCUACCCUAGAAGCAAAGAAACCUCAUUAGCCACUGUUUCUGAGAAGGAACAAUAAUUAUGAGAAUCCAAUGAUGACACCACCACCCUUCAGAGUUUGUGCACUGGUGACAGUCUUGCAAACUGUGAUCUGGAUAGGGCCAGACCUCUGGGAGGAGAAAGGCAUUUUCAUUUGAGAAACUCUGUGACCUUGCAUUCUACCCUUGGAGAAGUCACAUACAUGUCACUGCUACACUGUCUAAUUUCUCCAAAUGUGACACUGCAUAUUUCUGGGCUUCAGUCUCCCCACCCCUAGGAAGUACGAGAGCCUUGGUUCCCCAGAAUCAUAUUCAGUGUUUGUUUUAAGAGAUGUAAUAAUUGUCAAUAUUUUAAAGAUGCUUAUCAUGUGCCACCUACUGUGCUAACAAUUCACAGGUGUGAUGAGUGCCUGUUCCAUUUCCUAGACAACCCCAUGUGCUAGAGAGGCUGGCACACAGUAGAUGUGGUUGGUAUCCUUCCCCUUUCCUUUCACUCUGACCACUUCAGUGCUCUUGGCCUGACUUCCAGCUUCCUGAGCUCUUCCUCUGUUAAAACCUACUUUUCCCAAAUAUGCAGCAUAAUGAAAGUAGCCCCAUUGUGCAAUGAUUAACAGAAGCAGGUAUGCAAAUCUCCCAGCUCCCUGGCCUUAUGGGUGAGAUAACUCUGAAAUCUAUACUCUCGACCAGCUUCCAGAAUUCCCAUAGGGAGUUUACUCCUCAAACACCCACCCUUUACUAGCUGCCUUCCUUUCAUCUUUCUAACCUCCCUUGUAUUAUAAUGUGGUGGUUGCUUCCCCCUAUAAACUACUUAUACUCCAAUCCUUACCUCCUGUGGUCUGCAUCUAAAGUAACCCAAACUGGGAGCCACAAUGGCACCUUGAAGAGUUACUGUAGUAAGAAUCAUGAGAACCUGUUCUCAAAGGAAGCUCAGAGACCUCAUGUGGGAUUGAAUUAAAUUCUUUAAAACCUAGGAAUAAUGUCCUAAAUGUCAAAAGGAAGAGAGUUCAUGGAGAGUUGCAGUGCAGAGGAAAGGCUUUCUAGAAGUGGUGAGAAUUGAGUUCAGGAUUUAACCAUGAGUUAGAGUUGAGGUGGUGUCCCUUUAGUUGCAUAGCACAAAGCUGUGGCUGAAUUGUUAUGGUUGCAGAAGGAACACAGUCGGGACGCUGGUCAAGGCGAGCAGGUCCAGGAUGUAAGCCAUGGCCCAAGGUGGACAGAUUGAAUCUGCCUGGAAACUUAGCUUCUUUUCACAAUACCACGACUCUACAAGCCAGGCCUCCUCCUUUCAAGAACUUGAAAGAAAUCAAAUAAAUUGUGUGGCCAGCUCUUCUGAUGAUAACUGACAGGCAGACCCAGAUUCCUGAGUGUCUCUAAGCUCCUUGCCAGGGCCAGGGUGGGCAGUACUGUCUGGAAAAUAUAGUGGCUCCAGGAGCAAUUUCUUUAUGCCGAUUCCAAAGAGAUAAACUGGAUUGAUGAUGCACCAAAUAUGACUACCUUUGUGAGCAGCCGUUGCUUGUGAGUAAUAAUACCUACAUCACGGGACUGCUGUGGGUAGUGGCAGAAGGGUGAUCUUGUACUUGGUCCCUAGGCUUGGAUCUUGGAGGAAUGACCUGCCCCGCUAUGUCAAAACCAUAAAAUGGAGACCAUGAUCUCAUGAUCUCUACUUCUUAAGGUAAAGAGUUUUAUGAGCUGACACAUGUGGAGUGCCGAACUGAUGCUCAGUAAGUACCAUUAAAUCACAGCCUAAAGACAUGUGGGGAGGACCAGACUUGGAGAGAAAUUGACCACAUCUUUUUCUGAGUCACCUCUCCCUACUCAUUUUACCCAAGGACACAGCUCCAGGGUGAAGGAAGAUUAGUCCUGAAGCUAAUUAACUUGCACUUCAGGGCUCCACAAAGCCCAGAAUUUUGUAUUGAUACCUUUUUUUUUGUUGUUGUUAGUGUUCCCUCUUCCUGCUGGAAAAGAUUUGGUCUCUACUACCUGAAUUCACUUCUGACUGGGAGCAAAGGUUCUUGAUGGGGGCAUUCUCUGGGCUCACCUUGGAGUGCAGGUGAAACUAAAGAGUGAAUCCCACCAGAAUCAUCCUCAUAGGUCCACUGGGGUUUCUUUUGGUCUCCUCUUCCUUCAUCAUUUUCUCCUCCAUACCAUUCUUGCAUAACAGAGUCACAGAAUGUUCAAGCAGAGAGAGCAGUAAAUUUUACUUCUCUGUUGGAAGGAAGGAAGAAAUAGAGAGAGAGAGAGAAGGGAAGGGAAGGAGAGGGAAGGGAGGAAAAAAGAGGGAAGAAAGGAAAUAAAGAAGAGAGAGAAAAAGAAAGAAAAGGAAGAAAAAGGAGGGAAGAAAGGGGAAAAGGAAGGAAGAAAGGAAAUAGAAGAAAGAGAAAUGAAAAAGAGAGAAAGGAAGGGAAGGAAGGAAGAAAGGAGGAAAGAAAGGAGAGAGAAAAAAGAGAAAGAAAGAAGGAAAGAAAGAAAGGAGAAUGAAAUUUGCCCAGUGGCUGGGUCAGGCUAGAGCUGAAGUUUCCUGUACUCUGUCCAGAAUGCCUUUCUCACACUGUGCCCUCCCUCCCUUCCUUGUUUCCCCCUCUUUCCUUCUCUUCCUUUGUUCCUUUCUUCUAUUUGUUUCCUAGAAAUAAAGAAGUUUUAUCUUUUCUCUAAAGGAAGUCACUUCAUGAAAGUGGUCAACAAGGGACAAAGAGCUCUCUAAUUUUUUUGGCGUCCUGCUUUGGGAUUCAAUUGUUUUCACUGACCUUUUGUGCUCUUAGUUUAUGAAAAAUCAAUAGUUUAAUAUAGAAAAAAAAAGUCCCCUGGCUAUCUGUUUAGAGCUAUAUUGCCUUCAUUGCAGGACUCUGUCUCUGCCUGCCUGCCUGCCAAGAAUCCCUAACUCAGAUUGUCUUGUGCAGCGUCGGCCCAGCUCUCUGGAGCCAAUCCACCAGAUGCAGAAUGAUAAUAAUAAUAAUAUUAGGAGCAGAACCCACUCACGUGUCCAUGACUGAGUAUUUCUCAGAGGCCUUUCAUGCAUAAUGACACUCAUACAUAGUUAUACCCAAUAAAUGGUCAACUAAAUUGCUUCAAAUUGUUAAAUGCAGCACCCAAAGAGAGUAAACACCAUUAUCCCUAUAAUAGUAAAAGAAGCUGCUAUGCAUUGUCUACUGUGUUUCUCAGUAUUAAUACUAGUUUUGUCAUUUUUUCAGAAUAUUUAUCUAAGGAAAUAAUUAUCACCCCAUUUUAUAGAUAAACUGAAGCUCAGAGUUGGUAUGACUUGCCCAAGGUCACUGUGGAAGCACAAUUGGUAUAGAAGCGUCCCCUUUUCUGGAUAAAGCCCACAUUUUCCCUACUAACUGUCAGGCUCUCUUGUCUUAGGGAAUGAUAUAAUCCAGAGGGACUUAGUGCUGAUCUCCUACACAGCCAUGCUUUAGAUCUUUUCCCUUGUUCUUUCCCCAUUCUCAGAUGUCUUAGUCCAUUUGGGCUGCUGUAACAAAAUACCAUAAACUGAUUAGCUUAUAAACAACACAAAUUUAUUUCUUGCAAUUCUGGAGAUUAGGAAGUCCAUGAUCAAGGAUGAUUCAGCAUCUAGUGAGGGUCUGCUUUCUGUUUCAUAGAUAUGGCCUUCUAAUUGUAUUUCCGCCUGGUGGAGGAGGCAAGGCAGCUCUCUGGAGCCUUUUUUAUAAGGGCACUAAUUCUAUUCAUAAGGGGCUUGCCCUCGUGACCUAAUUACCUCCUGAAGGUCCCUCCUAUUACCAUCACAUUAGUGAUUAGAUUUGGGUGCUUACAUUUUGGGGGAGCACAAACAUUCAGACCAUAGCACCAGACAACAAAGACUGGAUUAAGCAGUGUGCACCCUUCAAUGGAGGGCCACAAACUCUUAGGCUCUACAGUGGCCCAUGAGCUGUGCUCCAACUCAAGAUACAGCAGGCCACUGGGUUCCUUCCUUAAGAGUUUGGACUUGGGAAACACAGGGAAUGAACAAGUUGGUAGCCACUUCAGGUGCUAGAAAGUCUUACAAACACUGUGGCUGGGAUAGCCCUCAUUGUCAAUGCUUAGGAUAAGACAGAAACAGUUUGGAGAUACUACCCAGAGUAAUUUAUAUAUUCAAUGCUCUUCCCGUCAAACUACCAUUGACAUUCUUCACAAAAUUCGAAAAAACUAUUUAAAAUUUCAUAUGGAAUCAAAGAAGACACUGUAUAACCAAAACAAUCCUGAGCAAAAAGAACAAAGCUAAAGGCAUCACCUUACCUGACUUCAAAUUAUACUACAAGGCUGCAGUAACCAAAACAGCAUGGUACUGGUACCAAAACAAACAUUUAGACGAAUGGAGCAGAACAGAGACCUCAGAAAUAAUACCACACAUCUGCAACCAUCUGAAUUUUGACAAACCUGACAAAAACAAGCAAUGAAUAAAGGCUCUCCUAUUCAGUAAACGGUGCUGGGAAAACUGGCUAGCCCCAUGCAGAAAAUUGAAACUGGACCCCUUCCUUACACCUUAUACAAAAAUUAAUUCAAGAUAGUUUAAAAACUUAAUUGUAAAACCCCAAACCAUUAAAACCCUAGAAGAAAACCUAGGCAAUACCAUUCAGGACAUAGGCAUGGGCAAAGACUUCAUGACAAAAACAUCCAAAGCAAUGCCAACAAAAGCCAAAAUGGGCAAAUUGGGUCUAAUUAAAAUAAAGAGCUUCUGCACAGCAAAAGAAACUAUCAUCAGUGUAAAUAGGCAACCUAAAGAAUGGGGGGGAAAUUAUUGCAAUCUACCCAUCUGAUGAAGGUCUAAUACAGAAUUUACAAGGAACUUAAACAUAUUUACAAAAAAAAUCAAAAAGUGAGUAAAGGAUAUGGACAGACACUUCUCAAAGGAUGACAUUUACUCAACCAGCAAACAUGAAAAAAUGCUCAACAUCACUGACCAUCAGAGAAAUGCAAAUCAAAACCACAAUGAGAUACCAUCUCAUGCCAGUCAGAAUGGCAAUUAUUAAAAAGUCAGUAAACACUGGAUGCUGGUGAGGCUGUGGAGAAAUAGGAGUACUUUUACAAUGCUGGUGGGAAUGUAAAUUAGUUCAACCAUUGUGGAAGACAGUAUGGAGAUUUCUCAAGGAUCUAGAACCAGAAAUACCAUUUGACCCAGCAAUCCCACUACUGAGUAUAUACCCAAAGGAGUAUAAAUCAUUCUACUAUGAAGACAAAUGCACAUGUAUGUUUAUUGCUGCACUCUUUACAAUAGCAAAGAAGUGGAACCAACCCAAAUGUCCCCAUCAGUGAUAGACUGGAUAAAGAAAAUGUGGUACAUAUACCCCCCACGGAAUACUAUGCAGCCACAGAAAGGAAUAAGAUCAUGUUCUUUGCAGGGACAUGGAUGAAGCUGGAAGCAAUUAUCCUCACAAACUAACACAGGAACAGAAAACCAAACACCUCGUGUUCUCACUCAUAAGUGGGAGUUGAACAUUGAGAACACAUGGACACAGACAGAGGAACAACAUGCACCAGGGCUUGUUGCGGGGUGAGGCGUGAAGGGAGAGGACUUAGAAGAUAGUUUAAUAGGUACAGAAAACCAUCAUGGCACACAUAUACCUAUAUAAUAAGCCUGCAUGUUCUGUACAUGUAUUUCACCCACACCCUUUUUUUAGAAGAAAUAAAAAGCUUGGAGAAUGAAGGAGGAGGAGAUAGAGUGAGCAAAAAAGAGAGAAAAAGGUUGUCCAUGCCUAUGUGGUAGGGGGAUCUAGGUGAAAGAGAAAGACAGAAUAGAGGAGAGAGGAGAGGGGAGAGGGGAAGAGAGGGGAUGGGAGAGGGGAGGAGAAGAGAGAGGAGAGAGGAGAGAGAGAGGUGGCCAGCCUGCAGCUGCAGCUCCCAGCUGUUCCUCCUGAAACCUAGUGUUUCAGCAUUUCCUGCAGGUCUAAGGAGAUGCACCCUUUGAAAGUAACCUUAUUCUCUACUUCCUGAUAGAAUUGGGUUUAAGAAGCCAUGUUCAAAGAAGUGACUUGGCUAAAAUCGAAGAAUGGGUCCAUUGUGGAGCCACGAGGACUCCAAUUUUCUGAAACCAGCCCAGUGCCCCACCACCAAGCUGGGUUCAGGUCAGCAAACUGCAGCCCACAGACCAAAUCUAACUAGCUGCUCCAUUUGUAAAUAAAUUUUUAUGAUAGCAUAACUACACUCUUUUGUUGAUACAUUGCCGAUAGCUGUUUUCAGGCUACAGUGGCAGAGUUGGGUAACUGCUCCAAAGAUGAGAUGACUCACAAAGCCCAAAAUAUGUACAAGCUGAAUAUUUUCAGAAAAGUUUGGUGACUUCUGCAUUAAGCCCAACAAGUUCAUGGUACAGGAGGACAGGAAUAGUGUUCAUAACUAAGGUCACUUUAAAGGUUUUCUAGACCCUGGACAAUCUUAUUUUGGGAAACCUUGUGAAAUACCUUUACAUCUCACAUUACAUAUGUUUCCUUAAGACUUAAAAUGGACUACAGUUGACAUAGUUAACAUAGUGUUACAUUUUAGAGAUACUUCAUUCAACGCUUGAUUUUUAUUUUAUAGCUUGCAUUCGUGUGUGUGUUUUGAACCUACUAUUUCCGUCUCACAGGCUUCUUGCUUAUAUCUAUAGGCCCUUGUAGACAAAAUAGGCUGGCUCCUAGCAACUUAAAUGUCACCCUUUCCUUUUAUUCUCUCAAUUCUAUUGUUUUUAAUAGCUUCACUGAGGCAUAAUUUACAUGCCAUAAAAGUCAAUGAUUUUACAGAUUUGACAUUGAAUUGUACAAUUCAAUGAUUUUUAGUAAAUUUAUAGAAUUAUGCAACCAUUACUAUAAUCCAGUCUACAUCUAAUUUUAAGGCAACUUGAGAUGUUAUCUUGUAGUAUACUUUUCUUUCUAAAUAAUUUAUCACCCUUCCAAGAUGUUAUGCUCGUUGAGGGCAGGCAUGACCACCUUAACCCAGUAUGUCUUCAUGUUAACUUGAUUAUACCUACAAAGACCCUAUUUCCAAAUAAGAGCACAUCUGAGAUUCCAAGCGGGCCUUAACUUUGGGAGGAUAUUUUCAGCCCUGUAUAAUCAUCAGCAUUAUCAUUAUUGUCAUCAUCAUCAUCAUUAUAGAAGAUGAAAUAAAAAGUGCCUCAUAAAUUCUAGCAAAGCAUAAGUGCUCAAUAAGAAGUAGCCUUUAAUAACAACAAUAACAACAAUAAUAAUAAUUAAUAAGACAAGUAUAUAUAAUAUCUAGUAUCAUGCUUAACAAUUAGUGGGACUGUUCAUUCUUUUUCCCUAGAACACGUAGCACAUAGGGAUACACAUAGUAGGGUGCUCAAUAAACACAGAUUGAACAAAGAACACAUUUUAGUUUCUUAGAAAAAGCCUCACCAUUUUUCUCCAAGAAAUUGACAUCUGAUGUGGGCUGGAGCAGCGGGUAGGGCUGUCACCUGUGAGCAGGAAGUGUGAGUGGAUGAUGGGCAAGCUCCCUGCUGUAGGCGCUGACGGCCACUCCUAAUGAGACAGAGUGAGAAAUGAGCUUGAUCUGUGGAGCUGGAAUUUAAUCCUUCCUGAGCCCACAGGGUCCCAGUGCAGUGAGACCAGCUGUUUUCAGAUUCCUUUCUGGAAAAGCCAAGUUGUUUUUGGUUUAAAAGUAUAGGAGAUACCCUUAGAACCCCAUCUAGCCCUCUCAACAAAAUCUCCAAAAUAGCCAGACAGAGAAGGGAAUGGGAGGGCUUGGAUUCCAAGCCUGACUCUGCACCCAAGAUCAGAAGGGCCAUGGGCUAGUUCUUUUCUAUCCAUGACCCUCAGUCUCUUCAUCUGUGAAACAGGCACAAUUUAUCUGCCAUACUGAGCUGUCUUGAAGAUUAAUGAGAUAAUGGGUAUGAAGAAAAUUUUAUAACCUGGAGAGAAAUGUAAACAUGUUAUCUGUCUGGCAGUCUCACCCUACCAGAUCUAAGCUUUUCCUCCCACCCAGCAACUUUCCUGGCUGAUAUGGAUUGCUUGUUCCCUGUUCAUCAAAUUGCAUGCUCAGAAAAACAUACAAGGCUGAUUAAAAUUCUGGUAUCCAUGAGUGAUAACUCCAAGCAUUACUUCCUUAGGAGUUUCUUCCCAAGAGCGACCAAAACCUUAAGCUAGAUAAAUUAAUUCAUUAAUUCAUCCAUUUGUGUUUAUUCAUUUGUUCUUAGAUCUAGCAUCCAUUUAACCAUUAUUUAUUGAGCACUUGCUCCGUGCCUGGCAUUUCCUAGGUACAGAGUUGAAUCCAGGAGGGACUCAGUUUUCAUGAUACUCACAGGCUUAGGUGGGAAGUAUGAUAUAAACACAAAGAACUCCAAAUAACCACAGUAUUUUGUGAUCUGGGGCAAAUCUUUUCCUCUUUCUGGACCUCAGUUCCCCAUCUACAAUAUGAGACAAUUGUAACAAUUGCCCCUAGAAAUGUCUCCCUCCUCUAGCUAUCUAAUAAACAACAGUGCUGUUAAAAAGAAUGCUGAACUAGAAAGCAGAAAAUUCCAAUUGUUGUCCUAACUCUGCCACCAGUUAACAGUGUGAACCUGAAAAGGCCCUUUCCACCUGGUGUGCCUGAGUUUCUCUGUGUAUGCAUGAUGAAACAGAUUAAAAUAAUCCCCAAGAUUCUUGCAGCUUGGAACCCUGAAGUUUAUAAAACUACUCAGCUCCUUCUCUUAGGGUCAGUGACGCCACAGUGGCAGCUGAGCAAACAUUCAGAGGAAGACACUGACGGAAGACACAAAGAUGGAGCUCCUGGAAGCCUCAGCUGUUGGCCGCCAUUUCCUGGGAUGAUCGGCAUCCUGCUGGGGAUGGUGAUAUCUGUCUUCUGCUCUCACAAGCUGAGCAUGAAAAUGUUCGAGGCAGAUAACAGGCAUCUCCUUUCCCUCACUGAGACCAUCCUGGCAUCACAUCUCUGUGUCCUAACCCAGGUGAUGUGAUCAGGCAGGAGACAACAACCCGUGGUGUAGCGGACUUGGGAGACCAGUGGAUAGGGCAAAAUCCGGCUGAACUGGCCUUUCCAGAGAGGAGCUUUUUGUGGUGGUCAGCCUACUAUUGAUUAGUGCUUUGUUUUGGCAGCUUUUUGCUACCAAGGGGGUCCAGUCUUAGAGGUGGGGUAGGAGGCUGGUAGGAGGAGUGGCAAUGGGUGGGUGAUGCUGGCUGAUCAGGCGAAUACAGCAGUUCCCACGUCAGUGAUGGAGAACUUUGGGUGAAAUCUCAAGGAACUUCAUGGAUUCUGAAAACCUUUUUCUACUGUAUGGGCUUGUGGAGCCCUAAUCCUUUGAGAUGCCUCUAAUAACCGAGUGGUUAAAAGCACCAUCUUAAAACUCAUCCUGCCUGCAUUUGAAUUCUGUUUCUCCCACUUCCCAGUUGUGUGGCCUUAGGCAGCUCUCUUAACCUCUCCAUGCCUUAAAAUCCUCAUCUAUAAAACUAUAUCCAUAAUUCAAGUUGUUAAUGUCAUUAAGUGAAUCAAUGCUUGCAAGACACUUAGAAUAGUGUCUGGUGCACAGUAAGUGACAAGAAAGUGAAAGUUCAUAUGAUGUGAUGGAAAAAGGAAAAUACUGCUGCUACUACUAAUACUAAGACCAAUAAUGACGACAAUAAUAAAAACUCCCUCUUAGAGCUUCCGAGGUAGUAGCAUGGUCCAAGUUUUCAGAAGUGCAGUGAGACCCAGAAGUGCAGUGAGACCCUUUAUGACACAGAAGCCCAAUCAGCAUUCUCAAAUUGGAAUUUUUUUCUCUUUUCCAGUAUCUGUCAAUACCUCAGAAAAUGUUCAAACCCAAGCCACUCAUUUUAGAGAUGGAAAAACUGAGGCCCAGGAAGGGAAAGGUGAUUGUGUCUUAGGUUGACAAAGGUGAUUGUGUCUUAGGUUUUGCUCAUAGGGCCACAGCAGUACUAGUGUGCCUGUGUAUCUCUGGCUGAGGCAGCUGAAACCCUGGACUGGUAAGAGUUACUAGAAGGGCUGGGAGAGGAGCAGCCCUGGGCUGCCCAGAGGAGGGAGGCCUCUCUCUUCCUGCAUGAUGAGUUCAGGUGGGCUUCUUAGAGGAUGUCACCUCCAACCUGAAAUCUGAAGGAUGAGGAGCUGUCAGGUACCGGAUAGUUGGGAGAAACAUGGGAGAGAGAGAGCAGAAUGUGCUCCAGGGACUGAGAGAGGUUCAGUGUGGCUGGAGCACUGAUGCUGAAAAAGCUAGUUGUUCAGUUUCCAAGUGGUUGUAUGGGUUUGAGUGUGUUUCUUAAUCCUGAGUUCUAGUCCAAUUGUGCUGUGGUCUGACAGACUGUUUCUUAUGAAUUCUGUUCUUUUGCCUUUGCUGAGGAAUGCAUCUCAGGAAACAAAUGACCAGCACCUCAAGUUCAGUUCAGCCAUGAGCUCACAGAGUAAACCUGGGUCAACCUUUCAAAUCUCUCCAAGCUCCUAUUUCCUCACCUAUAAAAUGAAGAACAUUUUCUCUAAGUACUAGUGCCCCUUUAGUUCUCUGGUUUGGUGGAAGCCUCUCUCUGAUUAUUUUCAAUAUGCUGCAUAUGUUUGAUCUUUACACACUCUGUCAUCUUUGGGCACUGAAGACUCAAUCUUGAUUUGAGUUCAAUCAGAUACCCAUCUGGGUGAAAAAAGGCAAAGAUGAUUAGAUGUGUACUCUGGGAGAAAUUUUUCUCUUUGUCCUUCUUGCCUUGCCCAUCCAAUUUUCCCAAGUAUAUUUCAAAAAAAUGUGAUGAGUAGAACCAUUGAGAGGAAGAGGCUGAACAGAUGGCCAGAGAGAUUAGAUUAGAGAAAAAAAAACGAUCCAUGUUACUUUUAAGGUUAAUGUGAGCAGACAAAAGAAGGUUAACCUGGAAAAUCAAAUUACAACUAGGGAGAUAGAAGAGGGAUAGGUUAAUGGGGACAGGGUGGGGAGUUGUAAAGAGGUAGAUGGGAGGAGCUGGAGUGAUUAGAUACAGGUCCUCAAAGUUCAUCAGGAGAGAUAACCACCUGGAAUGGGAGCUGCUCCUGGAAGUCUUCCUUCUCCUGGACUCCCUCUUAUCCAUCUCCACCAUGCAGCCAGAGGGGUGAUUCUUGGACACAUGUAGGCUCCCUACUGUCUAAAACAUAAGGUCUACAUUCCCUUAGUUGGGCACCAAAGAUGCUUUAUGAUCUGGCCUCUAGCUGUCUCAUCUCCCUGUGAUAGUUGUCCCUGACCACAUAGUGUACCUGGAUGCUUCCUGAACAUUUUGCAUCUUCCAAUACCCCUGAAGUUUUCUUUCUGGACAAAUAAUCCUAUUUCUCUACUUGGUUGCUGUUAUGGCUUGACCAUGCCCCUUAAAAAGAUAUGUUGAGGUCCUAACCCACGGUGUCUGUGGAUGUGGUCUUAUUCAGAAAUAGACUAUUGGAAGAUGUAAUAAAGUCAAGAUGAGGACAUACUGGAUUAGUAUAGGCUACAGCAAUGGCUGGCAUUCUUAUAAGGAGAGAGAAAAGAGGAGACACAUUCACAGGGAAGAAAGCCAUGCAGUGAUGGAGGCAGAGCUUAAUUAGAGUGAUGCAGCUAAAAGCCAAGGAACACCAAGAAUUGCUUGCAGCCAUUAGCUGCUAGGAAGAGACAAGGGAGGAUUCUUCCCUAGAGCCUUUGAAGGGGGCAUGGCCUUGCUAACACCUUGAUUUCAGAUGUCUAGCCGUCAGAACUGUGGGAGAAUAAAUUUCUGUUGUAUUAAGCCACCUGGUUUGUGGUAUUUUGUAUCAGCAGCCCCAGGAAACUAUUAUAGUUGCUUUUCUUUUUCUCCCUAGUGGACAGCUGUCAUUUUUUGUCUGCUCAGCAUCUCCUUUUAUCCUGGGGAUCAAAGUGCCUAAAUUCCCUUUGUGAAACUGACCCUGCCCUAUUUCAGCCAAAGAGUAGAUUAGUGACCUGUGACAUCAUUCAGGCACUCCCUCUUGGAAAUCUGAAUCUUAAAAGCAGAGUGACACCCAAUGGAUGAAUAACUGGAGCUAAGUUCUCAUUUUGGCUUUGUUCUGAAGAGACUGCUCAUGUGUUCCUUCUCCCUAGGUCCCUGGAGCAGCCUCUGUUUCCGGAGAAACCAUCCUUUCAAUAAUUUUUGUUUCCUUGUUUUGUUUGUUAUCUUUUUGAGUUAGCUAGAGCCUAUUUCUGUUGUUUGCAACCAAAGAACCCAAACAACAUGCAGGCCCCAGCUCAAAUUGUCUGUGCUUUCCAAAGUCUCUCCAGCCUCCAGGAGGUAGGUAGGCACUCCUCUGUGCCCCAGACACUUUGCAUAUGCACCUCUACUCUGGCACUCACAUGGUGAUCUGCGUGUGAUUCUGUGAAGAGCUUCUCCACCUUCCACUUCAAGAGAAAGGACUAGGUUUCUCUUGGUGCUGGGGAAAUUAGUGGUACUCAAUUAAUCAGUUUUGAAUGGCUGAAUGAAAGACUCCUCUUCAGAGUCUCCCAUAGAGUUAUGCAUGUAUUAGAUGCUAAGAAAUGAUAAAUUAAUAUAUUUAACUUUAUCUCCCAUCACAGUCCCCGCAGAAGACGUUCCACAAUUCUAAUAAGACCAACACUAAUACGCUCUAAAGCCAGGAGUAGAAUGAAGGCAGUAAGGCACUCUGGGAGGCAAAAUUUAAGGAGAUGCUCACUCUCAUGCUCUGAGUGGUGCAAGUGCUACCCUUGAGUAUUUCCUUAAAUUCAGUGCUUUAGUCCCUGCCUUGAUAGGCUCUCUUGUUAAUUAAACUAUUCUAUGUCCCAGAGCUUUGAUAUCAAAUUCUCAAGAGCCUCAGCCUAAUAUUCCAACCACUGAAAUGGCUGCAUUCUUCCAUUUCCUUAAGGAAAGGAUAAAUAUCUGAAAAUAUGUGAUAGAUACAGUGGGGAAAAACUCUAGACUAGGAGGCAAGAAAAAAUGAAUUUUAUUUCUGUGCUUCCUUUUAAUAGUGUGAUUUCAGGGACAUCAAUUCCAUUGUGUGUCAAUUUCAUCAUCUCUAAAACAGGAGUCAUAAUUAUGUAUUAUUGUUAUCAUAUUAUGUUGUAAAAGUUAACUAAUAUUUAAAGUAGUUAAAACAUGAGCUCAUAGAAGCAUAAUAUAAAUGUUAGUUGUUAUUAUGGUUGCUUGACUUGCUUCAUGAUUCUGUGCUAAUGUCUUUUUUGUUGUUUUUAUAAAAUAGAGGGGAAA